GUUAUAUGGUCAAGUGAAGAAGCGCAUACGGUGGAUGCCUUGGCAGUCAGAGGCGAUGAAAGACGUGGUAGCCUGCG
rnacentral:rRNA from 1 species